GCCGAGCAUGUUAACGCAAGCUUGUGACCCAAGUGGGGGCAAUAUGGUGACGGGACACCCAAUCCCAUGGAGUCAGGUUCUCCUGGUUAUAAGACGCCACGUGUGGCUGGCUUCACAGAGCAGUCGCAAACUCUAACUCCCUGCCACACAUCGGCAAAAUUAGCUGGUGCCCUCUGGGAUCGGCAACCAUGACUCUGUGGGUUGAGAGCUCAACUGGACCAUCACUUUU
rnacentral:SRP_RNA from 1 species